UUCAAUCUUUUUAAAAAAGGCAAGAGAAAUCAAAUAUACCACAAAUCACGCCAAACGAUCUCAGGUUCCAUAAUUGCACAUGCCUCUCUAUUAGUCCAUACUAACAUAUCUUGAAUUCAAAUUCUCAAAAACAAAACGGUAGAACAGAGCUUAUAUGAUCAUUAUUGAAUUUGAUCGUUCCAAAUCAAUUGAGAAAACUAUUCCAAAUUCGCAGAAAAUCAAUUGCCACUGUGUAUUGAGAUUUCGUAUAGGUAUACAUUAUACUGCACUGAUUCGAGAACUGUCCAAAAAGACAAGAAAAAUCAUUUUCGGGGACGCGGUUCAUUAGUUUCUUUUUAAUUUUAUUCGUAAAAUCGGUCUCUCUCAUUUCUAUCUUCGCAUAAAUGGGUGAAAGGAUGCAACAACCAUAAUUCACAUCAGUAAUCACGUUCAGGUAAUAUACUACCGCUAGCAUAUAGCGUGAUUGAUCCGGAGAAUGAUAACUCCUGGACAUGGUUCUUUGACGAGCGAUUCAAAGAAGCUUAUGGAGUACGGGAGAACAUGUGUGUAGUAUCCGAUAGACAUGAGAGCAUCAUAAAGGCUGUAUCAAGAGAGUAUCCCAUUGUUCCACAUUCUGCGUGCAUAUGAUAUCUAUGAGGUAAAGUAUAUUAGAAAUACAAGAAGAGUCAUGAGGUGUUGAGUUCGGUGUUCUAUACAAUGGCAAAAGCACACACACAUGAUGAUUUUGAUAGGCUAAUGGAGAAGGUUGAGAAGGUCGAUAUUAGGGUGAAAAACUAUUUGGAAUUAGCUGGAAGGAAAAAGUGGCCGGCUAGACUGUAUGCACCCGUUAAUCGGACAAUGACAUCAAACAUUACCUAGUGUAUUAAUUCGAGACUUAUAUCAGCAAGAUAAUUGCCUAUCUAUUUUCUUGAACAUGUUUGGAAGAUGGAAUUACACCAACUGGAAAACGGUCCAUACCCGUCCACCAGUUGGAAAAAUAUUCCAUGAGUUGCUAUCAAUGAACGAACAACUAUGUUCACGUAUGACUGUAUGUUUCAGAUCAAUUGGCUGAACUAAAGUUGAUUGACUAACAUUUAGAUGCAAACUAUAUGUUGUUGUAUAUAUCUGUAUUUCACAACUGCAGUUUAGAUCUGUCUGUCUGUAUUUCAGGACUGACAGAUAUACACUGUAUCUGUCUGUAUUAUAAGCAUUUUUGUAUUUAAUAUAGAG